GAUGAACGCUAGCGGCAGGCCUAACACAUGCAAGUCGAGGGGGAGGUUACUUUCGGGUAACUGAGACCGGCGUACGGGUGCGUAACGCGUAUACAAUCUGCCUUUCACUGGGGGAUAGCCCGAAGAAAUUUGGAUUAAUACCCCAUAGUAUAGUAAUACGGCAUCGUGAUGCUAUUAAAGCUUAGGUGGUGAAAGAUGAGUAUGCGUUCUAUUAGCUAGUUGGAGAGGUAACGGCUCCCCAAGGCGAUGAUAGAUAGGGGUUCUGAGAGGGAUGUCCCCCACACUGGUACUGAGAUACGGACCAGACUCCUACGGGAGGCAGCAGUGAGGAAUAUUGGACGAUGGUCGGAAGACUGAUCCAGCCAUGCCGCGUGCAGGAUGAAGGUCUUAUGGAUUGUAAACUGCUUUUGUAAGGGAAGAAUAAGGGCUACGCGUAGUUUGAUGACGGUACCUUACGAAUAAGCAUCGGCUAACUCCGUG
rnacentral:rRNA from 1 species